rnacentral:rRNA from 1 species
CCUACGGGAGGCAGCAGUGGGGAAUAUUGGGCAAUGGGCGCAAGCCUGACCCAGCAACGCCGCGUGAAGGAAGAAGGCUUUCGGGUUGUAAACUUCUUUUGACAGGGAAGUGUAGAAGACGGUACCUGUCGAAUAAGCCACGGCUAACUACGUGCCAGCAGCCGCGGUAAUACGUAGGUGGCAGGCGUUGUCCGGAGUUACUGGGUGUAAAGGGGGCGCAGACGGCAAUGCAAGCCAGGAGUGAAAGCACGGGGCCCAACCCCGGGACUGCGCUUGGAACUGCAUGGCUGGAGUACAGGAGGGGCAGGCGGAAUUCCUGGUGUAGCGGUGAAAUGCGUAGAUAUUAGGAGGAACACCGGUGGCGAAGGCGGCCUGCUGGACUGUGACUGACGUUGAGGCCCGAAGGCGUGGGGAGCAAACAGGAUUAGAUACCCUAGUAGUC